UGUCACAGGAGAAGGUCCUGAUCCAGACCCCAAGAGAGGCUUCUUGGAUCCUGUGCAAGAAAGAAUUCAGGUGACUGAGAAUGCCUGACCAUCUGGGAAUGCAGCCCACUAGGUCUCAGCCUCAUUGUUCCCAGCUCCUGUUCAAGAUGGUGUCGCUCAGGUUCACACACCUCUGACACAGCCUCUGCCUCCUGCUUCAGCCUCCUAAGCAGCUGGGACUACAGCCUUCCUCGACCCUGCCACCCCGAGGUUCCCGUGCACACGUAAUAUUGCGGGAUAGGUAUUGUGGAAUGAGGAUCAGUGUUACAACCUACAGAAGAUGUGGUCGUGAAGUCAGGAGUCACAGUCUCAGAGUUGACUGCACUGCCUUGUAGCUGUGUGACCUUCGGGAUUUUGUUCAACCCCCUCUGAGCUUCGGUUUGCUCUCUGGGAAGACUCCAAGGAUAAGAGCAUCUACCUCCUCAGCCUGCUGUGAGAGUUACGGGGCCUGGGCCAAAGACGCUUUGUCCGACUGCUGGUCCGCAGGGAGCUCUAAAUAUGAAUCUGCUACAUCACCUUCACUUCUGAAAUCUGCUCUGAUGUUCCAAAUGUUCUUGGCCGUUCCUCCGUGUUUCUCCUGUAUGAAUUUCAGCUUCUUUUUGCCAAGUAUCUCCCCACCCCCGCCCACCCCCACCCCCAAAUAAACUCACUAGAAUGUUGGUUGAAAAUCUGAUAAGCCUACACAUUGAUUUGGAAAGAAAUGAUUUUUUGUAAGAGUCAAACUCCCUACCCAUUUUUUUUCUUUUUUUGCAAAAGUUUUUUCUUACAUUUGUCAUUCAGGUUUGUCAUUUUCUUGCUACAGACUCCAAACACUUUUCAAGAGGACCAUCGCUAAGUACUUUAUACUCUUGUUCGGGUUUUUUUAGAGUAAAAAGUGUUCAAAUUCUACCUUAUCUUCUAGCUGGUGGUGGUUGGAAAAUAAUUUUAAAAACGGAUUUAAAAUAUGUAUUUUGCAUCUGGCCGCGUUCCUGAAUUCUCUCAUUCUUUCUGAAAACUCUUCCGCCGACUCUCUGGGGGCUCCUAGGAAUGUGCUGUUUUGGCUCCUCCUUUCCAGAAGUUAUACGUCUCAUUUCCGCCUCACAUCGCUGGCAUUGUCCUUCGUUUCCAGACCAGGGUCGAACAGUAAUGGUAAAAGCAGGCAUCCUUCUUGGGUUCCUGUCUUGGACUGGAACGCCUUCGUGUUCCAACAGCAAGGGGAGAUAAAGGAAGUGCUUAUUUAUAGUUUUCUAUAGUUUCUUGAGCUUUCGUGUUGUUUUGCUUUCAGAGACAAGAAUUGACUUUCAGCAAAUGCCUUUCCCCCUAUAGUUAACAAUCAGGAACUAUUUAAACUAUGCCAGGAGGUGUAAAUAAAGUUAGGAAGAGCCCCCAUCUACCCAGCCCCCACUUAGCUUAAGAAAAACAACAUGGCCGGGCACAGUGGCUCAAGCCUGUAAUCCCAGCACUUUGGGAGGCUUGAGUCCAGGAGUUUGAUACUAGC